CCGCGCCGCCGCCGCCCGCCUCAGCCGCCUGCUCCGCGGGCUCGUCCGGCCCCUGCGGCCCGGCGGCGGCGGGCUCGGCCCCCCCGCGCCGUUGCUGCGCGGCGGGCGGCGGCAGCACGGGCAGCGUGACCACGAGCUGCCGCUUGGCCUUGUCGAAAGCGGCGCGGCCGCGGCCCUCGUCCACGGCGUAGGGCAGGCGCAGGCGCAGGCGGUAGGCGGGCCGCUCCGAGUCGAGGCGCAGCUGGCGGCCGCGCACCUCCAGCGCGGCCUGCGCGGCGCAGCGCAGCAGCGGCAGCUCCACGGGCCGUCACCUCCUCCUCGUACAGCCGCCGCUGCUCCGGGUCGGCCAGCUCCGCCGCGUAGUCGGCGAGCAGCGCCCGGAACUGCUCGUCGCGGAAGGCCCCUCGGAGCCGCUCCACCUCCUCGGCGCUGAGAUCCAGGUCCUCCAGCCGCUCCGCGCCCGCCAUGGCCGCGCUCCGGCCCGGCCGUGCGUUGCCGUGGAGACGCUAAACAAGAUGGCGCCUCCUCCGCGGAGCCGCGCGCGUUGCUGUGGAGACGCCAAACAAGAUGGCGCCUCACCACCGGCCGCGCGCGUUGCCGUGGAGACGCCAAACAAGAUGGCGCCCCCUCCCCGCCGGCCUUCGCUGUGCGAGGCCUCCCUGUGCCUCCCUCCCCGCUCCUUUGGCCUUAACGGCUCCUUGCUUCCUCCUCGCCCGCUCUCAUCUUCCCCAGGGGCGGCUCUAGGCCUCCCUCAUCUUCUUCUCUUUCCCCAGCGGGGUUGGUGCUCUCCACUGCACCGCUGGGCCCCACGUGAUCUGGAGUAUAUCCGGAGGUGUCGGCACAGGCCUUUUGCAGGAGUUUCAAAGCACACGGUCCUUUUUCCUCUUAGUUUUACUUCUCCUCACCUUCUCCGUGCGGUGUGAUGCACGGGCUGAACUGCCAUCAGUAAUCCACACCUUCAUCACACUUCACGAAUCUUCUCCAAACCUUUCCAAAGGAAAAUCUUAGCCCACCUUUCCAGAUCUCCUGUGGACAGCUAGCUAUCAGCUUGACUCAGCAUGGUGAAAAGUCCUAUCUAUUCUAACUUCUUUAAAAAAAUUAAAUAAAAAUAAAUAAAUACUUCCUAUUUGAUAUAUA